GAGGCGGCCUCCACCUUGUGGCCGUGAUGAGAAUGACACUCCUCGAAGCUGUCGUGAAAGGAAUCAGGGCCCGACCAUGAUGCUGAGAGGUCUUUACCAAAUGAAUUGGGGAGUCUGUAGAAGCCCCUAUAUCAUCAGUGAUUUUGUCGAUGGCCUACUAACUGCAAGGCACAAAUGCGGUGGAGUGAAAGAUAAUCUGAUGUAAUAUAUCUCACUGGUGGAUGGAAUUGAUUGAAAACAGUGGAAUAAUAUCCACAAGUCGCUGCCUUUAAAGGAAAAGUCUACUGGGAAAGACAGAUGCGGUGAGGGGAGGAAAAGAUGUAUCCAUGUUGACCCCUAUUCAGUCUUCGAACCUCUACAGUAUGGCUCAUCCCAUUCCAUAGAAAUUGCCCGUGACUCAUCUCCCUCCACCUACCCAGCUGCUAUGAUUCAGUUUCAGCCCACGAGACUCAUGAUGUAAUGGAAUAAAGGACGACCAAGGUUAUUCCCUCA